UCCUGAUUUUUUAUCGAGAUGAGUAUGGAUCCAAUAUCAAGACCUGAUCAAGAAAUCGGAUCGGGUCGGGAUCACUCAGGAUCCGGUUCGACCCGACCUAUUUGCAGGCCUAGUCGGUAAUAGCUCGAUCUAGUCUAAAAGAAUUCUGAUAAAUCUUCAGAUCAAUUGAUGUGAUAUGGUAAUGUUUCACUUGCAUGUUGGUAGCACGCCGAUCUUAAUUAAUACUACCAUAUGGUCAGA
rnacentral:lncRNA from 1 species